rnacentral:rRNA from 1 species
AGAGUUUGAUCCUGGCUCAGGAUAAACGCUGGCGGCGUGCCUAACACAUGCAAGUCGAACGCGCUGGAGUGAUCCAGCGAGUGGCGGACGGGUGAGGAACACGUGGGUUAUCUACCUUGAGGUGAGGAAUACCGGCGAGAAAUCGCCGACAAUACCGCAUGACCUUGGAAACAAGGAAAGCUGAGCAAUCGGCGCCCCAA